CGACGGGUGAGUAACACGUAUCCAACCUGCCGUCUACUCUUGGCCAGCCUUCUGAAAGGAAGAUUAAUCCAGGAUGGCAUCAUGAGUUCACAUGUCCGCAUGAUUAAAGGUAUUUUCCGGUAGACGAUGGGGAUGCGUUCCAUUAGAUAGUAGGCGGGGUAACGGCCCACCUAGUCUUCGAUGGAUAGGGGUUCUGAGAGGAAGGUCCCCCACAUUGGAACUGAGACACGGUCCAA
rnacentral:rRNA from 1 species